rnacentral:rRNA from 1 species
UACGAAGGGGGCUAGCGUUGCUCGGAAUCACUGGGCGUAAAGCGCACGUAGGCGGAUUUUUAAGUCAGGGGUGAAAUCCUGGAGCUCAACUCCAGAACUGCCUUUGAUACUGGGAAUCUCGAGUCCGGGAGAGGUGAGUGGAACUGCGAGUGUAGAGGUGAAAUUCGUAGAUAUUCGCAAGAACACCAGUGGCGAAGGCGGACUCACUGGCCCGGUACUGACGCUGAGGUGCGAAAGCGUGGGGAGCAAACAGG